rnacentral:rRNA from 1 species
UACAGAGGGUGCGAGCGUUAAUCGGAAUUACUGGGCGUAAAGCGCGCGUAGGCGGCUUUGCAAGUCGGGUGUGAAAUCCCCAGGCUUAACCUGGGAACUGCAUUCGAGACUGCAUUGCUAGAGUAUGGGAGAGGGAAGUGGAAUUUCCGGUGUAGCGGUGAAAUGCGUAGAUAUCGGAAGGAACAUCAGUGGCGAAAGCGGCUUCCUGGACCAGUACCGACGUUCAGGCACGAAAGCGUGGGGAGCAAACAGG